AAAAAAUUAGUUAAACUUAUAAUAUUAAUUUGUCAAAUUAAAGUUAUUAAAUUAUAAAUAAUAUUUUUUA
rnacentral:tRNA from 1 species